CCAAUAGCGUAUAUUAAAGUUGUUGCAGUUAAAAAGCUCGUAGUUGAACUUCGGGGUCUACCCAUUGGUCAGGCUUAAUUGUCUGCACUGGUGAGAUGGAUCUCUACCUUCUGAGGAACUUUCAUGCCAUUUAUUUGGUGUGAUUGGAAAUCAGGACUGUUACUUUGAAAAAAUUAGAGUGUUUAAAGCAGACUAUCGUCUGAAUACAUUAGCAUGGAAUAAUGAAAUAGGACGGACUGAUUCUAUUUCGUUGGUUUCUAGGAUCACCGUAAUGAUUAAUAGGGAUAGUUGAGGGCAUUAGUAUUCAAUUGUCAGAGGUGAAAUUCUUGGAUUUAUUGAAGACUAACUACUGCGAAAGCAUUUGCCAAGGAUGUUUUCAUUAAUCAAGAACGAAAGUUAGGGGAUCGAAGACGAUCAGAUACCGUCGUAGUCUUAACCAUAAACUAUGCCGACUAGGGAUCGGACGAAGUUAAUUUUAUAAUGACGCGUUCGGCACCUUACG
rnacentral:rRNA from 1 species